UAAGAAACGGGUCAAAGAUUUAAAACGCGGUUUUGGGAUACAUACAAAUAUUCACUCUUAGCGAUCGUUUCACUCAGGUCAUACAGGAUUUUCGAAGAGAAAAGGAACACAGAAGAGGUACUAUUUUGCUCAAUCAACACCAUGAAUUGACUGAUCAAAAGUCAGAAGAUACUUCCAGACAAUAACAGUUUUGCAUGUCGUUCUACAGGAAGCACAUAUAAUAGUACUCGACAACAAUAUUAUCCUUAUGAAAAGGCGAAGACAACGAACAGUGAUCAAUCUCAAAACUCUUAUAUGACUCACCAUGCAAGAAUGUUGAAAAAACUUCUGAUUAUACUUGGAUACAGAUAUUGCUCAACCAAGACAGCUAGUUCUCAAAGAUUGGAAUUUCCUUUUCACAUGCAAGAAUAUGAAUGAAAUACCGGCAAACAUACAUAUUAUGUUUUAUUUUUGUGCCGCCAUCAGACAACUCUAUUUUUAUGUAAACUAUAUUAUGUUCCACCACUUUUAACUAAAGAUGUAUACUAGUGAGCUAAUUGAAUACGCAUAUAAAAUGAAAUAUUAGAUAAGCGCACGAUAUAGAUAAAUUACAUAUAGAAAUGACGUCAGUUAACAUUACAAGGAGAAAUAAAUAUUAGAAUCAUUUCACUUCCUGUACUUUUAUUUGUAUUCAUCAUUAUUACUAAGUUGUUCAGCAUAACGUUCUUGUUAAAACCCAGGAACAGCGAAUAUGUGAUAGCAGUACUCACUUGUUGAGAAGAACUUGAUUGAUGGGUAGGAGGUGUCAUAGUCAACGGAU